rnacentral:misc_RNA from 1 species
GAAAUGCGAUAAGUAAUGUGAAUUGCAGAAUUCAGUGAAUCAUCGAAUCUUUGAACGCACAUUGCGCCCGCCAGUAUUCUGGCGGGCAUGCCUGUCCGAGCGUCAUUUCAACCAUCAAGCCCCCGGGCUUGUGUUGGGGACCUGCGGCUGCCCGCAGGCCCUGAAAACCAGUGGCGGGCUCGCUGUCACACCGAGCGUAGUAGCAAUCACCUCGCUCAGGGCGUGCUGCGGGUUCCGGCCGUUAAACAGCCUUACAAAACCCAAGGUUGACCUCGGAUCAGGUAGGAAGACCCGCUGAACUGACGC